CGGUGGGCGUGCACGCGGCCCCCAGCAGCCUGCCCUACCUGCACAGCCCCAUCACCACCUCCCCCAGCUGCUAGGGCCGCGCGGGGAGCCCCCGAACCAGGGGCCUUCAGCGACAGCCGGGACUGCCCGGCCGGGGACAGGCCCCCAGGCCCCUGCCGUCACCUGUCCUCGGCCGGCCACCGGGCCGCCAGAUGGCAAUAAGGACUCUGCAGACCUGUUCACAGCCGGCAGAGCAGCCCUCCGACUUCCAGCAAUAACGCCGCCGCCGCCGGGCGGGGAAGACCGGGGCGUGGUGUGUGUGUCCCUGUGACGUGGCGGAUGGGAAUCUCUUACCUCAUUUUUCUAAGCAGUAAGGCUUGAAGCUCGGAAACCCACAGGUCCUGGCCAAUGUGCCCACGCAGUUUUACGCAAGGGCGGGGGAGGGGGGAGGCGGGACAAGAAGAAAACGAGUUGCCCGAAGUGCCUGGUUCUGUGUGCUUGGCCCUUUUUGUGGUUGAGGUUACAGGAACUUUCCUCUAAAGGAGUCUUCGAGGACCUGGCUUUCCCUUCUAAGUCACACACAGGUGGAUAAUUCUGCUUCAUAAUAAAUAAAAGUAUUUAUUAAGAGCUUCCGCGAGAAUCUAAGUACAGGGGGUCUAGCGCAGUGACUGAAGAAUAUGCUUUUGUGACGGCAUAGCGGCGGCUGACGUCACAGUGGGCACAAGAGGCGGCUGACGUCACAGCGGCCAGGAGGUCUGUGGCCCCCCGAGACGGGGCCAGGCUCCCAUCUGGUCCGCCCGGACUGGCGCUGAGGCAGGCAGGGCGCGGUGAAGGAGGAAGAAAGGGACUGCUUUGUAACAACUUUCCAAGCUGGUUCCUGGGCACGUGGACGCCGAAUGACUUCAAACCACAACAGCACAGCCUUUUCUCUCUGAUGCUCAAUAAUUCAGUUCGGCAGGUGGGAGCAUUUUUCUCAGCCACCUGCCUGAGGACUUGCAGACCAUCUGUGACAAAUGCCAUAUCCUAUCAGGUGCUCUAGACACGCUGGGUGCAGUUCAGCUUGUCCCGGGCCCUCGGGGAGACCAGCCAACUAGAGGCACACCGGAAACGAAUCCUUUUGUACAUGGAAAUACCACCGUUUCUCCUUUGCAUACAUACGCUGGAGAUUUUCAUGUUCGGGGGUUACUUGGCAUGAAGUGCAACCAAGUUUAAAUUCCUGGUUUAGGGGAAUGUCUUCAAUGGCCCGCUUUUGAAUAAAAAGGGGAGUGGACCCCGCGCUUCAGGUCUCCCUGAAGUCCAGGAUGGUAAAAGCGUGAGAGGGGAGUUGGGGUAGACACUUUGCUUAGGAGGUGGCUGUGGGCUCCUGUGAAGGGCACCACGGGCAUUUGGGUGCCGUGUUAGGGUCCUGUCUUGAGAUAUUGCCACGUGAAGGGGCCCCCCAAACAGAGGAGGGGCUUCUGGAGGGAGAAGGGGCUUUCUGUGGGUUGGGCUUGGGGGGAGGGAGAGGGAAAACAGCUACGUGUUACUUUGUAGUUCUGUGGAACAGUGUUGUUUCGGAGUGCCGGAUUAGAGGUCAUUGCAAACUUG